ACGAUCCCAAACACGAUUUCAGAAUGGACAAAGAUUGGAUGUCCCAUCCCAGGAUGUGUCGAGACAGUAUCACACACGAACACCUGUGAAACGCAAAUACAACCCUGAGGAUAAUCAUGGCGGGGAAUUAAAGCCCCGGAGGAAUUGGAGGCGCUUCGAGCGCUAGAGUCUUUGCUUCUGGAACAAGAGGGGUCACGGGUGUCUUUGGAUUUGUUUUUGGAGAAAUUGAAUGUGAA